GACGAACGCUGGCGGCGUGCUUAACACAUGCAAGUCGAACGGAAAGGCCCUUCGGGGUACUCGAGUGGCGAACGGGUGAGUAACACGUGGGUGAUCUGCCCUGCACUUUGGGAUAAGCCUGGGAAACUGGGUCUAAUAAAGCAUAGGAUCACGCGCUUCAUGGCGUGUGGUGGACAGCUUUUGCGGUGUGGGAUGGGCUCGUGGCCUAUCAGCUUGUUGGUGGGGUUAUGGUCUAUCAAGGCGACGACGGGUAGCCGGCCUGCGAGGGUGACCGGCCACACUGGGACUAAGAUACGGCCCAGACUCCUACGGGAGGCAGGAGUGGGGAAUAUUGCACAAUGGGCGCAAGCCUGAUGCAGCGACGCCGCGUGAGGGAUGACGGCCUUCGGGUUGUAAACCUCUUUCAAUAGGGACGAAGCGCAAGUGACGGUACCUAUAGAAGAAGCACCGGCCAACUACGUG
rnacentral:rRNA from 1 species